rnacentral:lncRNA from 13 species
GAUGGCACGCUGAUAAAGGUGGACCUAAACGUGGUCCCUUCGUCUACGAGACUUCGUCGGCGAAUCACUCGCGAUUUACCGCGCUUUUCGUCGCCAGUGUCGAAACCACUCGUUCCCUCACGGUCCAGACUCUGCCUGUAGACUCGACGCGAUUAUGCGCGAGCGCGCGUUCACGCAAUCACACACAACUGUAGCACAGAACAUGGAGGAGACACGCUUCGUGUCGACACAGUGCGAUCACCGAUUACACGCUAAGAGAACAUACAAUUUAUGAAGAAAAAAGAAGAGAGGAACUUCGGGGACACAGAAAACGCAAGAACACGCAAGUAAGCGACUGCUCGUCGCGUGAUCCGAAAUAUUUUAAAGCUGGGUAUACAUCUGCGAACGAACAGCACGGCGAAUACACGUGUAUAUGAUCCAUAUCGCGAAUUUUCUUUGAUGUACCGCUUCAUGAGGGAAUCAAGUCGAACAUGAAUUGAACAUUCUAUUUGUAUUCUUUGGAUUGUAUAAAGACAUAGUCUAUGGGAUUAUACAUCUGCUGAAUGAGAACAAAGAACAUUCGCGUUCGUUGUUCGUUUGAUAUUCGUUAA